rfam:Neonectria ditissima strain R09/05 contig_179, whole genome shotgun sequence.
GGACAGAUGGCCGAGCGGUUAUGGCGCUGUGUUCAGGUGUUAUCACACACAUGUACGAUUCGCAGUUCCGAAAGGAGCGUGGGUUCGAGUCCCACUCUGUUCA